AAAAAAAGAUAUCAGCUCCAUUACUGUCUGGUUUUAACCGAUCAGGAUACCGUGAAUCGCUUUUACAAGUACCCCAAGCGCAUGCACUUUUUAGUCGUAACCGUUCUAUAUUGUUCUAUACAGUAUAUAUACGCUCUGCCAUGUUUGAUAUAUAUUUUUUUACAUUUUCCUGGGGCUAGAUACCACAGCGCAAAAACGAGAGGGCUGGAUACGUGCAUGUCACAGAGGCGAUAAAUUUGUAUGUACGAAGGAUAGUUAUAUUUUUGUUAUAGCCUUCAUUUUGUUGGACAAAAUGGUCCUACUGAAGAACAUCCAGACCCUGUAUCAGCAAUAACUAGUACGGAGAAUAAUAAUCCUAAUCUCCGUCUAGCAUAUAAAACGCAACAUUAAAAUGCGU